GGAGAAAGGACUUUCAUAGUGACAUAGAAAUGCCAGGCUGUUUUUUAGUGUUUUCCAGUAUUUUCCUCGUCUCCAGAUUGCCUUAGACACAAAAGCUACAGUCUCAUUACCCCUACUCCUUCUGAGGCUGGAGUGUGUGGGAACCUCCAUGUGUCCCCUCCCUUUUACUAAAGUUCUGUUUUUGUUCUUCCAAUUUUAACUGUUAAAACUAUUUCAGGAUCAGAGAGGUGAUAAUUGAUAGUGACAUCAGGCUGACACUAGACAACCCUGGCUUCAAACUCACUAAGUGGACCAGGCUGCACUUGAAUUCUGCCUGGAAUAAAAAAAAAAGUGUGUCGCCAGCUGCUCUCUCCACCCUCCCAGUGCCAAAGCUGGGAGCUCUGUGUGUGUUAUUCAGACUAUCACUGCCAUUCCCCUUCAUUAAGAAAAAUUGGAAAAAUAAGGAAUGAACACUCGCAGUAUAUAACUACCUUUUUUUGUUGAGAUAAAAGUUUGCAUCAGCUAGUCCUUGGAAGGAAGAACAAGCAGACCGAGAUGUGUAGCUCCGUGUCUGGUAAGCUGUGGUUCUUGACAGAUCGUCGCAUCCAAGAAGACUACCCACAGAAAGAGAUCCUAAGAGCUCUG
rnacentral:lncRNA from 1 species